UACGUAGGGUGCAAGCGUUAAUCGGAAUUACUGGGCGUAAAGCGUGCGCAGGCGGUUUCGUAAGUCUGUCGUGAAAUCCCCGGGCUUAACCUGGGAACUGCAUUCGAGACUGCAUUGCUAGAGUAUGGGAGAGGGAAGUGGAAUUUCCGGUGUAGCGGUGAAAUGCGUAGAUAUCGGAAGGAACAUCAGUGGCGAAAGCGACUUCCUGGACCAAUACUGACGCUCAUGUGCGAAAGCGUGGGGAGCAAACAGG
rnacentral:rRNA from 1 species